AUUUCACAUAUCGACCAGCUGACAGCUGCGGACUUCAAUGGACAUUUUCACAACUGCUAUAUUGUCUGGUCAAAAUUGACAAGUUUAAGAAAAGAACCCGAUUGACUGAGUAUCUAACAAUGAAUGAUACAGAUAGUUUCUAGAUUCUCCGGAGUGACAAGUUUUCUCAAAAUAGAAAUGCCAUUAACUAUCAAGCUGUAAUGAGAAAUAAGGAAGUUGCUGAGUUCAACAGGUUAUAUCGGGCAGGUUAUCCGUCCCCGGAAUUCGAACUCCGGACCUCCCAAAUACGUGUCGAGAGUGUUUCCACUUAUACAACAAAGGACAUGCGGAAAGGAGGGAAAAAAUAUAAGAACCUUCUCCUCCAAUUUCCUAGUCAUUAUGGAUCAACACAUCUACGCCACCAAAAUGCCUUCUCCUGAAUAUAUUGCAAUUGAGUCGACAGGAAACAUGUCUGUGCGUUAGAAUUUCAGUAGAAAUGUCUGCAAUAACCAACCAUCUCCUCAAACUUCCAUGUGUAACGGAAAUUCAUAAUGAAUAUCAAGUACCUGCAAGUCCAAAAGUGCUAACGUCAGUGAAAACAAAGUG